AUUGAACGCUGGCGGCAGGCUUAACACAUGCAAGUCGAGCGGGGUGAGGUGCUUCGGUACUGAUCCUAGCGGCGGACGGGUGAGUAAUGCUUAGGAAUCUGCCAUUUAGUGGGGGACAACAUUCCGAAAGGAAUGCUAAUACCGCAUACGUCCUACGGGAGAAAGCAGGGGAUCUUCGGACCUUGCGCUAAAUGAUGAGCCUAAGUCGGAUUAGCUAGUUGGUGGGGUAAAGGCCUACCAAGGCGACGAUCUGUAGCGGGUCUGAGAGGAUGAUCGAGCACACUGGGACUGAGACACGGCCCAGACUCCUACGGGAGGCAGCAGUGGGGAAUAUUGGACAAUGGGCGGAAGCCUGAUCCAGCCAUGCCGCGUGUGUGAAGAAGGCCUUUUGGUUGUAAAGCACUUUAAGCGAGGAGGAGGCUACCUGGAUUAAUACUCUAGGAUAGUGGACGUUACUCGCAGAAUAAGCACCGGCUAACUCUGUGCCAGCAGCCGCCGUAAGAC
rnacentral:rRNA from 1 species